rnacentral:tRNA from 1 species
AGGGCUAUAGCUCAGUUAGGUAGAGCAACUCGUUUACCGGUUCGAGUCCGUAUAGCCCUA